rnacentral:rRNA from 1 species
GACGAACGCUGGCGGCGUGCUUAACACAUGCAAGUCGAACGGUGAACCUGCUUCGGUGGGGGAUCAGUGGCGAACGGGUGAGUAACACGUGGGCAACCUGCCCUCAGCUCUGGGAUAACUCCAAGAAAUUGGGGCUAAUACUGGAUAUGACCGCUGACCGCAUGGUCUGGUGGUGGAAAGAUUUAUCGGCUGGGGAUGGGCCCGCGGCCUAUCAGCUUGUUGGUGGGGUAGUGGCCUACCAAGGCGACGACGGGUAGCCGGCCUGAGAGGGUGACCGGCCACCUGGGGACUGAGACACGGCCCAGCACCCCCCGGGAGGGAGGGGGGGGGAAAAUUGCGCAGGGGGCGAAGGCAGAGCGGAGGGAGCCCGGGUGGGGGAGGAGGGCCUUGGGGUUGGAAACCCUUUUCCGCGGGGACGAAGCGAAAGGACGGGAACCGGAAAAAAAACCCCCGCCCAACAAGGG